CAAGUCGAACGGCAGCACGAGAGAGCUUGCUCUCUUGGUGGCGAGUGGCGGACGGGUGAGUAAUAUAUCGGAACGUGCCCAGUAGCGGGGGAUAACUACUCGAAAGAGUGGCUAAUACCGCAUACGCCCUACGGGGGAAAGGGGGGGAUUCUUCGGAACCUCUCACUAUUGGAGCGGCCGAUAUCGGAUUAGCUAGUUGGUGGGGUAAAGGCUCACCAAGGCAACGAUCCGUAGCUGGUUUGAGAGGACGACCAGCCACACUGGGACUGAGACACGGCCCAGACUCCUACGGGAGGCAGCAGUGGGGAAUUUUGGACAAUGGGGGAAACCCUGAUCCAGCCAUCCCGCGUGUAUGAUGAAGGCCUUCGGGUUGUAAAGUACUUUUGGCAGAGAAGAAAAGGUAUCUCCUAAUACGAGAUACUGCUGACGGUAUCUGCAGAAUAAGCACCGGCUAACUACGUGCCAGCAGCCGCGGUAAUACGUAGGGUGCAAGCGUUAAUCGGAAUUACUGGGCGUAAACGUGUGUAGGCGGUUCGGAAAGAAAGAUGUGAAAUCCCAGGGCUCAACCUUGGAACUGCAUUUUUAACUGCCGAGCUAGAGUAUGUCAGAGGGGGGUAGAAUUCCACGUGUAGCAGUGAAAUGCGUAGAUAUGUGGAGGAAUACCGAUGGCGAAGGCAGCCCCCUGGGAUAAUACUGA
rnacentral:rRNA from 1 species